AGAGUUUCAUGAAUGAGGCCACCAGUUCUCCUCUGGAGGGUGCUCUUAGCAUCCCAGCCUCCUCCAGAAGUCCUUCCUGCAGACAACAGAAGAAGCCUUAGCUAAUCCAUUCCACCAAGAAUGAGGCACUUCACCAUCAGCCAAAAGAGAGACAAAAAAACACCGAGUGUAACUGGGGGAAUACAGAAGAACAGCGAUGAAGACCUGAGAAAGGCCCUGCUGAAUGGAUUGCUGAGGCUGAGACCAUACGAUGUUCUCCAAGCCUGCAGAACUCAGCACCAAGGAGACUCUGGAAGCUACCUGUAGAAGAUGGCAGAGCCUCUGUCAGCCUUUGCUCCUGAAUGGUUGCCUGGAAAAAAAAAAGAUGCUUAUCAGCUGGCUCACCUACCCUGCACUGUUGUAUGAG